rnacentral:rRNA from 4 species
CCCGUUCCCAUACCGAACACGGAAGUUAAGCUCUUCAGCGCCGAUGGUAGUCGGGGGUUUCCCCCUGUGAGAGUAGGACGCCGCCAAGC